AAAAAUACACAGAGCCCGAGGCAGCUAAAGAGAACAGUACAUUUACUUCUUUUGGCUUUUCAUUGAACCUUGAUGCAACCGUUUGAUAAAAAAUGUCGAGAAAUUAGGGCAUCGAAUUACUGUUGAGCAUCUUAACUAAAAUGCCGUCCAACAGGAAGUAUCGUCGAGAUCACAGUGAAGUUAGUUGUUGUUUAAAGUAUCUCAUUUUUGGAUUUAAUGUCAUCUUUUGGCUUACUGGACUUGGAAUUAUGGCUGUGGGCAUCUGGGCCUGGACGGAAAAAGAUACAUUCAGCAACCUUCAAAGACUUACGAAUGUUGCUUUAGAUCCAGCUUUCAUUCUCAUCGUAGCAGGAGCAGUCACUUUCAUUAUUGGAUUCACAGGCUGUGUGGGGGCACUCAGAGAAAACACUGUUCUUCUCUCUGCAUAUGCAAUCUUCCUUGCAAUUCUAUUGUUACUUGAAAUGACCGCAGGAAUCCUAGGUUUUAUAUUUAAAGAUUGGAUCAAACAACAAGCCACAGGAGGAUUUCAAGCAUUUAUUGUACAUUAUCGGGAUGACCCUGAUCAACAGAAUUUGAUUGAUUGGAUACAAGAAGGAUGGCUGCAAUGCUGUGGCAUUGAAGGACCCAAGGAUUGGGAUAGAAACAUUUAUUUCAACUGCUCAUCUGCCGAAGUAGGAAGCAGAGAAGCUUGUGGAGUUCCUUUCAGUUGUUGCAAACCUCAACCCAAUGAGAUUAUUAAAAACAAGCAGUGUGGAUACGACGUCAGGAAACCGGAUUAUCCAGGCGAUCGGAGUACGGUUGUAUACGAGCGGGGCUGUUUGAGGGCAGGGGAAGAAUGGGUCGAGUUUAACCUCAUUCCAGUCGCAGGAGCAGCAGUUGGUAUCGCCAUUUUACAGGUACAGUAGCGAACUCGUAAUCAUAACUUUAUCUAUAUGUUUAGCGACAGUCCAGCGAUUUGGGCGUGUAUUUGAUUAUAGAGGCUUUACUCUCUCCUCUUCGGUGACUGGGACGGGUGAUGGUUUUCGGAGGUUGUUGAAAUCUUACUAGGUGGUUGGUUGCUGGAUCGCUUUUCUCCAUUCCCUCAGUGAUAUACAUAAUAUCAUCAGUAUAUUGUAUUACUCAAAACAUUCUCUCUCUGUAUCCGUCCCUCCACUCGUCCUCAUUAGAACUAUGACGUGGCGAAAAUCAUCAACGAUAAAGGCUGCUUACCUGCAGGAGAAGAAUGGCUU
rnacentral:misc_RNA from 1 species